rnacentral:rRNA from 1 species
AAGGGCACCACAAGAACGCGUGGAGCAUGUGGCUUAAUUUGACUCAACGCGGGAAAUCUUACCGGGUCCGGACACACUGAGGAUUGACAGACAAAUACACACACUACGGUGUGUGCAUGAAAUAUGCUAGUUCUUUCAUGAUUAUGUGAUAGGUGGUGCAUGGCCGUUCUUAGUUCGUGGAGUGAUCUGUCUGCUUAAUUGCGUUUCACUAAAGGCACAUACACAUAAUAUUGAUGCGUUGUGUGUAUAAUUUAUAAUUAUACGCAUACACACAUAUUAUAUUGUGCUUUGAAAGCAACGAACGUGACCGCAACCUCUUGUUGCCUGUAUAUAUGUGUAUUUUAUACACACCACAGGCUAUUAUAAACUAGAGGGACCGCUGUUACUUUCUUUUAAACCAGAGGAAGGUUGCGGCAAUAACAGGUCUGUGAUGCCCUUAGAUGUUCCGGGCUGCACACGUGCUACAAUGAUCAUUGCAGUGCGCAUCUCAUUUUGUUAUACACUGCUUGUGCGUAUGUGCACCAUAUAUUUAUAUGUGUGUGUAUGUAUUGCACGCAGUAAAGCCUACUUCGAAAGUUGUGGGUAAUCAAUUUGAAGUAAUGAUUUCUCCAAAUAUAUACUGCACACUCAUAUACAGUGUCUUAUGUCCAUGAAAAUUUUAUUUUUUUUGUGUGUGCAUUCGAUGCUCGUAUGUGCAAUUGUCAAUUCAUGGUGGGGACAGACCAUUGUUAAUUGUUGGUCUCGGUCUUAACUAGGAAUGCCUUGUACGGGUCUUUGGUUCAACAAACCACCCGGAAUACGUCCCUGCCCUUUGUACACACCGCCCGUCGCUCUUACCGAUGGACUUCUCUGUGAGUUUGAGGGACUGGAUUUUAUAUCUAUGGAAACUCAAACGAACAGUGUGGUCUAAAGGAAAGAGAAGUCGUAACAAGGCAUCG